GUAGGGGGCGAGCGUUGUCCGGAAUCAUUGGGCGUAAAGAGCUCGUAGGCGGCUCAGUAAGUCGGGUGUGAAACCCUCAGGCUCAACCUGGGGACGCCACCCGAUACUGCUGUGGCUAGAGUCCAGUAGAGGAGUGUGGAAUUCCCGGUGUAGCGGUGAAAUGCGCAGAUAUCGGGAGGAACACCAACGGCGAAGGCAGCACUCUGGGCUGGAACUGACGCUGAGGAGCGAAAGCGUGGGUAGCAAACAGGAUUAGAUACCCUGGUAGUCCACGCCGUAAACGUUGGGCACUAGGUGUGGGGACCCUCCAACGGUUUCCGUGCCGUAGCUAACGCAUUAAGUGCCCCGCCUGGGGAGUACGGCCGCAAGGCUAAA
rnacentral:rRNA from 1 species